rnacentral:snoRNA from 12 species
UACAUGCUUCCUUAGAUCCACCUUUGUGGAUGCUAGUCUUGAACUGAGUUCUACUUGUAAACAUUUGGUUUCUUGUAGUUCCAGUCAGGAAACAUCCAGCAACUUUUUUGGUUGUAUAGUCAAAGGUGCUUGAGUCAUUGGCAUGUGAGAUAAAUAUACCUGCAUGUUAGUCUUAGGUUCUGAUAGAAAUGACACGCAAUUGUGCUGCCAUUUUUUGCUGUCAGGACUCGACUGGUGUGCGGACACU